CCUACGGGUGGCAGCAGUGAGGAAUAUUGGUCAAUGGGCUUACGCCUGAACCAGCCAAGUCGCGUGAGGGAAGACUGCCCUAUGGGUUGUAAACCUCUUUUGUCAGGGAGCAACGCCGGCUACGUGUAGCCGUACUGAGAGUACCAGAAGAAAAAGCAUCGGCUAACUCCGUGCCAGCAGCCGCGUUAAUACGGAGGAUGCGAACGUUAUCCGGAUUUAUUGGGUUUAAAGGGUGCGUAGGCGGAAUGCCAAGUCAGCGGUAAACUCGCGGGGCUCAACCUCGCUCCGCAGGUGAAACUGGGAGACUUGAGUGUGUGAGAGGUAGGCGGAAUGCGUGGUGUAGCGGUGAAAUGCAUAGAUAUCACGCAGAACUCGGAUUGCGAAGGCAGCUUACUAAGCCAUAACUGACACUGAAGCACGAAAGCGUGGGGAUCAAACAGGAUUAGAUACCCUUGUAGUC
rnacentral:rRNA from 1 species